CCAGGUUGAUCCUGCCGGACCUGACUGCUAUCGGAUUGGUACUAAGCCAUGCGAGUCGUUGUACAAUACAAGGCGGACUGCUCAGUAACACGUAGUUAACUUAACCUAUGGAUGGGAAUAACCUCGGGAAACUGAGAAUAAUACCCAAUGGGCCACAGUGCCUGGAAUGGCCUGUGGUUGAAAUGAUUUAUCGCCGUAGGAUAGGACUGCGGCCUAUCAGCUUGUUGGUGAGGUAAUGGCCCACCAAGGCUAUAACAGGUACGGGCUCUGAGAGGAGGGGCCCGGAGAUGGGUACUGAGACACGGACCCAGGCCCUAUGGGGCGCAGCAGGCGAGAAACCUUUGCAAUGUGCGAAAGCACGGCAAGGUUAAUCCGAGUGUCUCCUGCUAAAGGAGUCUUUUGUCAGUUGUAGAAUCACUGGUGAAUAAGGGGUGGGCAAGUUCUGGUGACAGCCGCCGCGGUAAAACCAGCACCUCGAGUGGUCAGGAGGUUUAUUGGGCCUAAAGCAUCCGUAGCCGGUUGCAUAAGUUAUCGGUUAAAUCUAUGCGCUUAACGUAUAGGCCGCCGAAAAUACUGUGCAGCUAGGGAGUGCGAGAGGUACACGGUACUCGAUAGC
rnacentral:rRNA from 1 species